rnacentral:rRNA from 1 species
CCUACGGGAGGCAGCAGUGAGGAAUAUUGGUCAAUGGGCGCGAGCCUGAACCAGCCAAGUAGCGUGAAGGAUGACUGCCCUACGGGUUGUAAACUUCUUUUAUAAAGGAAUAAAGUGAGGCAUGUGUGCCUUUUUGUAUGUACCUUAUGAAUAAGGAUCGGCUAACUCCGUGCCAGCAGCCGCGGUAAUACGGAGGAUCCGAGCGUUAUCCGGAUUUAUUGGGUUUAAAGGGAGCGUAGAUGGGUUGUUAAGUCAGUUGUGAAAGUUUGCGGCUCAACCGUAAAAUUGCAAUUGAUACUGGCAGUCUUGAGUGCAGUAGAGGUAGGCGGAAUGCGUGGUGUAGCGGUGAAAUGCUUAGAUAUCACGAAGAACUCCGAUUGCGAAGGCAGCUUACUGGACUACCACUGACGUUGAGGCACGAAAGUGUGGGUAUCGAACAGGAUUAGAUACCCUGGUAGUC